rnacentral:rRNA from 1 species
GAUGAACGCUGGCGGCGUGCCUAAUACAUGCAAGUCGAACGCUGAAGGAGAACCUGCUUCUUCGGUUUGAGUUGCAAACGGGUGUGUAACGCGUGGGUAACCUGCCUGGUACCGGGGUAUACCUAUUGAAAAGGAUCGCUAAUACCGCAGGACAGCAGUUAUUGCAGGAUAACUUUUUAAAAGUGGCAACUGCUCGACUACCAGAUGGCCUUGCGUUGUAUUAGCUAGUUGGUGAGGUACCGGCUCACCAAGGCGACGAUACAUAGCCGACCUGAGAGGGUGAUACGCCACACUGGGACUGAGACACGGCCCAGACUCCUACGGGAGGCAGCAGUAGGGAAUCUUCGGCAAUGGACGGAAGUCUGACCGAGCAACGCCGCGUGAGUGAAGAAGGGUGUCGGAUCGUAAAGCUCUGUUGUAAGAGAAGAACGAGUGUGAGAGUGGAAAGUUCACACUGUGACGGUAUCUGAACAGAAAGGGACGGCUAACUACGUG